CCGGCAGAGACUUCCUGAACAAGAACCUCCAGAAGUUCUGGGGAGAAACGGGAAAACGACCCGGAUCAGUCAGGUCUGGUCGGAUCAGAUUGGGUCGGAUCAGACGGAUCGGAUCGGGUCAGACCGGACCGGACCGGACCCAGUACUCAGAGUAAACCUUGCGUUACCUUCAUGUUGUCUGGAGCGUCUCCCUGACCGGUGGUGGAGCAAACGAAGACAACCAGAGACUCUGAGAUCAGGUCGGCCUGGAGAGGAACCAGAACCAGAACCGUUACUGGACCCGCCCGGUCACUACAGAACCACCAGGUCCAUUAAACAGGACUUUUAAAUUAACGUAACUUUUUAAGGCUGUAAUUUUAGAUGUAAGACUUUAAAGACGGUUGGAUUCUGACAAAAAGCCAGAAGAAAAUAAAAUCUAGUGAGAUCAACUGACAUGGCCCUAAGCCCAGAGCCUCUGGAGGAGCUGCAGGGUCGCACCGCUCAGGUGGGACAACAAGUCUGGCCCCCAGUGAAGCAUGGCAGUGGCAGUGUCAUGCUGUGGGAAGCUGGAAGGAGCAAAAACCUGCAGCAGAACCGGACUCGACUCACCACGUUGUAUCCGUCCAGAGGCAGAACUCGGACCUUCAGCCGCCUCCUCUGGGCCUGCCGGCCGACCCGCUGGGCCGUGUCCUGGGCGGUUCCGGUCUGACUCCCGAACAGGACCAGCAGAGCGGGAGCCGCCAUGAUGUCUGACCCAAAACCCGGUGAAAGUGAGCCGAUGGGAACGAUGCUCCUGAUCUGCCCGGAAACAGGAACCACUAAAAGCUCAUUCAGUUUCUGGACAGUUUAACAACAAAGUGCAAAUAUAAAUUAAUUCAUUUUAAUAAACACCGCUAAACUGGUCCAGCAGAACCAGAACCGAUGCGAACUAACACAUGGAGAUAAAAACAAGCCUGCAUGUUAACUAAUGUCUGCUUUGAUUUUUAUAUAAAUAUUAGACAAAAAUAAAUCAUCUUCUGAUCUGAAGCUAAA